GGAAUUGCUAGUAGUCGCGGAUCAGCAUGCCGCGGUGAAUACGUUCCCGGGCCUUNUACACACCGCCCGUCACACCAUGGGAGUCGGUAACACCCGAAGCCGAUAGUCUAACGAAAGAGGACGUCGUCGAAGGUGGGAUUGAUGACUGGGGUGAAGUCGUAACAAGGUACC
rnacentral:rRNA from 1 species